UAUCAUUAACCUAUAAAUUAGAAGUUGAAGAGCUUACAUUAAUUAUUUAAUAGACACAUGACAAAUAUAUAUGAUUUUGACCAACUUUCAUAUAUAUGAUUUUGAUAAACUGAUGCAAAUACUUAGAACACUUACAAAAAGUGAUUUAAAAAGAUAACAU
rnacentral:sRNA from 1 species